GUGGAUUAGAUACCCUGGUAGUCCAUGCCGUAAACGGUGGGCGCUAGGUGUAGGGGUCUUCCACGACUUCUGUGCCGCAGCUAACGCAUUAAGCGCCCCGCCUGGGGAGUACGGCCGCAAGGCUAAAACUCAAAGGAAUUGACGGGGGCCCGCACAAGCGGCGGAGCAUGUGGAUUAAUUCGAUGCAACGCGAAGAACCUUACCUGGGCUUGACAUGGACCGGAUCGGCGUAGAGAUACGUUUUCCCUUGUGGUCGGUUCACAGGUGGUGCAUGGUUGUCGACAGCU
rnacentral:rRNA from 1 species